AAUUGCCUCCUGAGUUGACUAUGUUCAAUCCUGCACCGGUUUCUGAUCAAGGAAGUGUGCCAACUAAUACAACAAGUUCUGGACAUGAGGAAAAUCAUAUGUGAUAGUUGAAGAAUAUAAUAUAAUGUGGAAGUUAAUUGAAUCAUUUUAUGUUUUGAGAACUAUUGUAGUACUUCAUGAUAGUUUUUGCUGACUAAUAUUGUACUUGAAUUUGAAUUUGAAUUCGUAUAUUUGUUAUACUUUGAUAUACAUUUAGUCAUCUAUAAA